AUGCCGGAGGGGUCGAUCCCUAAGGAGGCGGCGUACCAGAUCAUCAGCGACGAGCUGAUGCUGGACGGGAACCCGCGGCUGAACCUGGCGUCCUUCGUCACCACCUGGAUGGAGCCCGAGUGCGGCAAGCUCAUGAUGGAAUCCGUCAACAAGAACUACAUCGACAUGCACGAGUACCCAGUCACCACCGAGCUCCAGGAAGGCAAGUUGUUGCAUCUAGAGCACAUCAGAGGGAACAAUGAAGUUUGUAGUUUGUACUACUUGGUUCUUACCAUUAGGACAGUACCAGAUGUGCUAAUACAUGCUGCUUUAAAUGUUGUAUUCCUGAUGUAG
rnacentral:rRNA from 1 species